rnacentral:rRNA from 1 species
AAAAUGGAGACUGACUUAUAACAAUGGCUUUAGUGGCGGACUGGUGAGUAACACGUGAGCAACCUGCCUAUCAGAGGGGAAUAACAGUGAGAAAUCAUUGCUAAUACCGCAUAUGCCAUAAAUAUCACAUGAUAAAAGUGGGAAAGGAGUAAUCCGCUGAUAGAUGGGCUCGCGUCUGAUUAGAUAGUUGGUGGGGUAACGGCCUACCAAGUCGACGAUCAGUAGCCGGACUGAGAGGUUGAACGGCCACAUUGGGACUGAGAUACGGCCCAGACUCCUACGGGAGGCAGCAGUCGGGAAUAUUGCGCAAUGGAGGAAACUCUGACGCAGUGACGCCGCGUAUAGGAAGAAGGUUUUCGGAUUGUAAACUAUUGUCGUUAGGGAAGAUACAAGACAGUACCUAAGGAGGAAGCUCCGGCUAACUACGUGCCAGCAGCCGCGGUAAUACGUAGGGAGCAAGCGUUAUCCGGAUUUAUUGGGUGUAAAGGGUGCGUAGACGGGAAAGCAAGUUAGUUGUGAAAUCCCUCGGCUUAACUGAGGAACUGCAACUAAAACUACUUUUCUUGAGUGUUGGAGAGGAAAGUGGAAUUCCUAGUGUAGCGG